UACGUAGGUGGCAAGCGUUGUCCGGAAUUACUGGGUGUAAAGGGAGCGCAGGCGGGGAGACAAGUCAGCUGUGAAAUGCAUAGGCUUAACCUAUGAAUUGCAGUUGAAACUGUUUUUCUUGAGUGGAGUAGAGGUAGACGGAAUUCCGAGUGUAGCGGUGAAAUGCGGAGAUAUUCGGAGGAACACCAGUGGCGAAGGCGGUCUACUGGGCUCUAACUGACGCUGAGGCUCGAAAGUGUGGGGAGCAAACAGGAUUAGAUACCCU
rnacentral:rRNA from 1 species